GAUGAAGAACGUAGCAAAAUGCGAUACUUGGUGUGAAUUGCAGAAUCCCGUGAACCAUCGAGUUUUUGAACGCAAGUUGCGCCCGAAGCCUUUUGGCCGAGGGCACGUCUGCCUGGGCGUCACGCAUCGCGUCGCCCCCCACAAUUCUCCGUAAAGGGAACAUGUGUUUUGGGGGCGGAUAUUGGUCUCCCGUGCUCAUGGCGUGGUUGGCCGAAAUAGGAGUCCUUUCGAUGGACGCACGAACUAGUGGUGGUCGUAAAAACCCUCGUCUUUUGUUUCGUGCUGUUGCUCGCAAGGUAAACUCUUUAAAAACCCCAAUGUGUCGUCGCUUGACGACGCUUCGACCGCGACCCCAGGUCAGGCGGGACUACCCGCUGAGUUUAAGCAUAUCAAUAAGCGGAGGA
rnacentral:misc_RNA from 1 species